rnacentral:rRNA from 1 species
GUGUCAGCAGCCGCGGUAAUACAGAGGGGGCAAGCGUUGUUCGGAAUUACUGGGCGUAAAGGGCGCGUAGGCGGCGUGCUAAGUCGAACGUGAAAUCCCCGGGCUCAACCCGGGAACUGCGUCCGAGACUGGCAUGCUUGAAUCCGGGAGAGGGAUGCGGAAUUCCAGGUGUAGCGGUGAAAUGCGUAGAUAUCUGGAGGAACAUCGGUGGCGAAGGCGGCAUCCUGGACCGGUAUUGACGCUGAGGCGCGAAAGCCAGGGGAGCAAACGGGAUUAGAAACCCUGGUAGUCC